AUGUACUGCAAGAAGAAGAUGCUCACUUCACUGCUCAUGGCGGCCCUCCUCUUGUGCUCCUGCGCAAUGUCCCUCGGCUCAUCGCGCUACACCGUUGGCACGAGCGGCGUAGCCAAGGUACGGAGCGCGGCGGCAUUGACGGCGGAGGAAGCCCAUGGUGGCCGCAUAGCUGCGGCGAGGGGAGUGAGGUCGCUGGGGCAGAGGGUGCCGAUGAAGGCUCCCCCUCCGCCGAAGCCCAACAAGCCCGCGAAGGCCAAGCCUCCGCGGCCGCGGCCGCCAGCGCCACCUCCGCCAUGCACUCCGCCGGCGCCACCUCCGCCAUGCACUCCGGUGGUAGAUGGUAGAUUCGGUUGA
rnacentral:rRNA from 1 species